GGGAGGGCGGGCUGCAGGCGGCGCCGGGCGGGCCCUCCGCCUCCCGGACACAUGGAGUACCUUCUCCGCCCCUGGCCGCCAGUCGCAGCGCAGACAGGGAUGGUCAGCAUCCCGCCAGGCGAACGGUCCGAGCGCCCGGAACGGAGAUUGCACCGCCACUCCCCGGGGACUUGUUCGCUGGCAGGCCUAACCCAGCGCCAGGCCCUAGAAAGCGCUCUUUGGGACGGGAAAGCUGCUGCUGCAACCUUCUGAGAAGAAGCUCUUUCCGUCAUGUCAGGACUGUAACACGGAGUCAUGAUCGCAUAUAGCCAAAUAUGUAAUUAAGAAGAGUCGGGGACGUAUCCUGCAGUGGAAUGCUGAGUUCGAUAAAGUUGCAGGAUGCUGGGGGAAGUGGGUUGAUGAGCCAGUGCAAAAUGAAUGGAAUCAUGGAAUCGGCAUUAGAGCUCUUAACGCCUGUCCGUCAGUCUCUAGAGAUUGCUGACUGCCUGUGACGUGGAAAGUUGAUGUUUGCAGGAGCUCUGGGCUCAUGGGAUGUUGCUAUAACCACCGAGGACCCUUGGUUAACCUGGAAAGAGCACGAAGUGCCCAGGUUAAUGUGGGAUCUGGUGGUUUGUGUUCGCAGGGCAAGUGAAUAAUAACUCCACAGCCAGGACGACUCAUUCUCAUCAGCGUCAACUGGGCGCCCAACAGUAUGAGAGGAAUCAAAUGAACAACUUUUAAAGGACAUUAAACAAAGCACCUAAGUGGACUUUGACCCUGUAGCUAACCACUUGAAGCACAAAACAUAACAAGUGGAAAAAGGGGUGGAGCAGGUGGAAAAAGGCGUGGAGCAGAUGCCAUAAGAAACCAAGUGCAAAAUGCGGCAGACUUGUGUCAGAUUCACUCAGUAGCAGGAAAAGCCCUGGCUUUGAACAACACCUGGAUCAGAGGGAUGCCUGGAGCUGCUUCAGCCACAGAUCUCCUGGAUCACUCUGCCCAACUCAACUGUUCCUCCAUUCACCUGUCUCCCCAAAAUCACUAGGACAGGUGUUACCUUCUGGAAAUAACUGAUUUCAGGCCAACCUGCUGUUGGACCCCAUCCCCUAGGAUAUUCGAAUACACAGGCCUCAUUCUCACCCUGCUAGUAACAGUGUUUGACACGUGGUUUGCUCUUACUAUUAUCAUUAUUAUGAUUUUAAUGCUAUCAGUAUUAUAAUGAUCAAGAUGACUAUUUGUAAAGCCAGAUUGCAUGGUUCAAAUUCAGUUUACACUACUAACUGUAUGGCUUUGGAUAAGUUACCUACCCCUCUAGGCCACAGUUUCCUCAUCCAUAAUUGGGGAUGAUGAUGGCAUCCGCCUGACUGGGCUAUUAUGCACAUUACAUGAGCUAAUAUAUGAAAGAACUUAAAGUGGCAUCUGACAUAUGGGAAGAAAACAUUCAAGAAAUAUCAACAGAAGUAGAGACCAAGCCAAAGCCUAUGUCUAGCUGGUCCCAGACUACCCCACUGCCAGCCUAUAAUGUUGGCAUGAUCUCCCACUGACCUGCUGAGACCUACCAUGAGUGAUCCAGCAUUUCACAUAUACUGUGUCUAAUGGGAGGCUGCGUCCUUCCAUCCUCAUUUCACUGUUGGGAGGACUCCAACCCUGGCUUUCUGACUCAAUGUCCAAGGUCUCCCUUCUGUUCAACAUCCAGAUCCUGGGAUUAGAGGCCCCUGCUCCAGUCCAAAAGACACUAAGCUCAGCUUUCCUGCCACACGCUCCACACACCUCAACUUCAGCAGUGUGUGCCAACUACCCCUCUCUUGUGGCCUCUUUUUUCCUUGUGCCUCUCAUGGUCUCAGGCCUGAGAAUGAGGAUCUUGUCUCUCAUAAGAAAGUGAAACAUUCAAAAUUUCUGUCUGGGAAAGUUCCCGAGGCAGGACAGGUCCAGAUGUGGGAAGGACACUUGCUGUUUUUAAAGACUCAAGUGAGGCUGAUGAAUGGAAGGAUCUUGGAGAGAGGGUGAUGACAAGAUCAGAUUUGUAUCCUGUACAGUAUAUUCUUCUCCCGUGCAGAACAUCAUUCUUACAUCCCCCUUCAAAACAUCAGGCACUCGCUGGGAAAGUAAGAGCCCACGAACGUGCAGCUCUUCCGGGGAGCAUUUGCUGCUUCUUGUUGUUGUUUAUUUUUUUUGAAGUGCUGGGGAUUGAAUCCAGGACCUCAUUCACUGCUGUUCUUAAGACCCCAUAGGAGGAGGAAUCCAAAGGAAUGAAUCCCCAUUAGAGGAAUUUGAAUCCCUGUAGGUGUGUCCAGAAUGUGUGCCACUAUUUCCUGGCUCUGUGACCUCUGGCAGGUUACGGGCCCCCUGGAGCCAGCCUGUUUCCCCAGUUCCCACCUCACUAGCCAUUGGGAGGAUUGGCACAGUAGUCCCUGCCUACCACUUAGUAAGGCUACACUCAUGGGUUCCCCUCUUCCUAGCAGUAACACUCAACCCUGGCUGCCUGGAGGGCCCUGCCUGGUCCUCAAACUUGGCCGCAUAUUAGAAUCUGGGUGGGGGGAUUUUAAAACACCCAUUCCUGUCCUCUGCUGCCAGCAAAUCUGAUUCAGUUGGUCUGGGCUAUGAUCUGGGCAUCAGAACUUUUUGUUCUUUUUUUUUUUGCUAGUGCUGGCUGAUAAUGGAAACCAGGAUCUUGCACAUGCUAAUUAAGAACCCUGAUCUAUGGAAAUUUAAAAGAGGAUAUCCAUCCCCAGGUCCUACCCCUGAAGAAACUCAAAUAGAACCUCUGAGAACUGGGCUCCAGAAU
rnacentral:lncRNA from 1 species